CACACAGAGCUUUGAAAGGCCACCAAGAACACAGUGAGAAGGUGGCUAUAAUCCAAGAUGAAACCCCACUGGAUAGACCAUCUUGGUCUUCCAGGUUCCAUUCCACAUGCCACAUUGUGCACCCCUCUGUGUCUCCCAAUUGUCUUCUCUGCCCUCAUUUGCCUUGGGCUGAUCUGUUGAAAGUCGCAGAGACCAGGCAGCCCUCUAGUGGUUGCAUCUAAAGUCUCGAUUCUUCUGUGGAUGAUGCUUAGAAUUGAUAACUACUCGAGACAUGUAUCCAAGGAGUUUUGAAGCAUGGAGCUGACAUGCCAGGGGCAAUGGUUACUGGAUUCCCUCUGUGCUCAGUAUUUCUGAUCACAGAAGCAGUACGGGAUCAGACGACCACCUUUUUCUCCAUCUUCACUGUCUUAUGUGUCAUGGAGCAGAACCAACUGCCAGGAUGUGAUUAGGGCAUCUCCUGUUCUAGGGAUGAUGCCUUAACUGAGAACAUUCUUGAUAGUCUGUUAAUGAAAUCUUUUUAUCCUCUUCAAAGGCAUUGCUCAUUUGUAAUUUGGAUAUGAAUUUCCCUAUAAUUUAUUAACUUGUGACCAAAUCAGUUGUCUUUUUAUUUUGUACCAAAACCAAAGUAGGAUUUUAAGGUAAUGAAAUAUUACAUUGUUUUUGUUAGUCUAUAGCAGCAACAAUGCAUUCCAAAAGAAAUAUCCUGGGGGGGGGACCUGAACAAUGACAAUGUCGCUAGAAAAUAUAGUCCUUCAGAAUGAAUUUCAAAGGAGUCAGUUCUGUGCUCAUGUUCCCUAGACGAUGAGGCAACUGAACUUUUCAUUAUAGAAAGUCUAUUUGAGCUAUCACGAGCUGUAGAGGCUACUCGCUCUCUAGACAUUUUCUCAGAGCCUCCUUGUUAUCUACCGAGGAUGUCUUUUGAACAUUACAGUGAUCGGCAAAGCUCUGCACGCUUAUGAAAGGUGAACCUUUUCUUCUCUUGUCUCUUUUCAGAAAAGAGCUGGCAGGGCAGAAUUUUAACUAUACAGACAUAGAUUCCUGAAGCAGAGAGGGAGGUGAGGAGAAAGGGAGGGAAGGAGGGGGCAGGGAGGCAGGGAGAGAGGGAGGAAGGGAGGGAGGGAAGAAGAGAGGGAACUGCUCUUUCUCUUUCUUUCUUUCUUUUUUUCUUUCUUUCUUUCUUUCUUUCUUUCUUUCUUUCUUUCUUUCUUUCCUUCUUCCUUCUUUUUCUUCUUUUUCUUUUUUUCUCUUCUUUUGAGACAGAGUCUCACUCUGUAGACUGACUUGGAACUCUGUAUGUAUCCCAGACUGGCUUCAAACUUGAGACUCCUACCUCAUUCUCCAGAGUUCUGGGAUCAUAGGUUUGAACCCAUAUGUACAGCUUUUUAAAAAAGGUGUCUUUAAUUCAGAGCAUUAUCCUGCCAGAGAAGGAUUAGGUAGAAAAUUAUUCUAAAAUUGUUUAAAAUUUGCUUCUUCAGUUCUCUAUCAGCAAUGUGCUUGGGGUUACUUGACUGAACAUGGGGUUUACCUUAAACUGAAGGUGAUCUGUUUGCCUAGCCAGAUUGGUAGAUCUUGCCUGAUCUCUGUAGAGUUAGACACUAAGGACAUACACUCAGAAAAUAGAAUGACUGCAGUUGAUAUGAAGUCAAACUAAUGUCUGCUGGUAUGGUCGAGUUGCUUUGUCAUGAACAGUCAGAGGUAUGCUUUACAGGUCUGGUUCCAAUGAAUUUAGGACCCUGAUAGAUCAGAUUACUUUUUUCUAAUGAAAUUUCCCUCCUAAUAUAUAUCUUUAAUAUCUUGGCUGUGGUUUCAGUAUGCAUAUGUCUAAACUUGCCAACCUGUGUGCAUCAAACGUGUGCAGCUUGUGUAUAUAAAUUACAUCUAAAUAAAACUCUUUUUAAACCUCCA
ensembl:lncRNA